UUGUAUGCCUCGUUGUUCGUUUUGGUUGGGAGUCGCGUGGCGUGGCGUGGGUUGGUGGUGAUGGUGCGAGUACUACGACCAAGGCGGCUAGUAGCUUCCCUCCCUCCGUUGUUUGACUUGUCCAGAACCGGUGCACAAUAAUUAGGACUGGGUUUGGUUGGCUUGGCGAUGGAAAUGGCGUCCCAAGGAUGGAGACGGAUGCGAACAUGGUGGAACAGGUCGCCGGGACCAGAACUAUAUAUAAGGUUGGUUGCUUCCGUUGAAACUCCACCGGGACUGAGCUGGGUCGCCGCUAUCAGUGCUGGAUGAUUCAUCGGUUAGGCCUAGCUUGUUACACCGUCGGUUAGGCCUUGUUGUCCCGUCCCCUGCCAACUUAGUCAGCCUUAUAUUUUUGCUAUAUACUUAUAUGUUUGCGAAAUGGUCUACAAUCGGGAGUGGAUGGAACUGGGGCAAUCACAUGUAUAUAUUAUUGGUCGCUGAUUAAUUGUUUGUUUAUCUGUGGAAUAUAUAUGGAUGAGUGGUCUUCCAAGUUCAUUA